GCACUAGUAGCUCAGUUUAGAGCGUCGGUUUUGUAAGCCGAAUGUCGGAGGUUAAAUUCCUCCCUGCUGCU
rnacentral:tRNA from 1 species